UACGUAGGGCGCAAGCGUUAUCCGGAAUUAUUGGGCGUAAAGAGCUCGUAGGCGGUUUGUCGCGUCUGCUGUGAAAGACCGGGGCUCAACUCCGGUUCUGCAGUGGGUACGGGCAGACUAGAGUGCAGUAGGGGAGACUGGAAUUCCUGGUGUAGCGGUGAAAUGCGCAGAUAUCAGGAGGAACACCGAUGGCGAAGGCAGGUCUCUGGGCAUUACCUGACGCUGAGGAGCGAAAGUGUGGGGAGCGAACAGG
rnacentral:rRNA from 1 species